UACUCGAGUGGCGAACGGGUGAGUAACACGUGGGUGAUCUGCCCUGCACUUCGGAAUAAGCUUGGGAAACUGGGUCUAAUACCGGAUAGGAGCCAUCUUUAGUGUGGUGGUUGGAAAGUUUUUUCGGUGUAGGAUGAGCUCGCGGCCUAUCAGCUUGUUGGUGGGGUAAUGGCCUACCAAGGCGGCGACGGGUAGCCGGCCUGAGAGGGUGUACGGCCACAUUGGGACUGAGAUACGGCCCAG
rnacentral:rRNA from 1 species